rnacentral:rRNA from 1 species
AGAGUUUGCUCCUGGCUCUGGACGAACGCUGGCGGCGCGCCUAACACAUGCAAGUCGAACGAGCGAGAGAGAGCUUGCUUCCUCAAGCGAGUGGCGAACGGGUGAGUAACGCGUGAGGAACCUGCCUCAAAGAGGGGGACAACAGUUGGAAACGACUGCUAAUACCGCAUAAGCCCACAGCUCGGCAUCGAGCAGAGGGAAAAGGAGCAAUCCGCUUUGAGAUGGCCUCGCGUCCGAUUAGCUAGUUGGUGAGGUAAUGGCCCACCAAGGCGACGAUCGGUAGCCGGACUGAGAGGUUGAACGGCCACAUUGGGACUGAGACACGGCCCAGACUCCUACGGGAGGCAGCAGUGGGGAAUAUUGCACAAUGGGGGAAACCCUGAUGCAGCGACGCCGCGUGGAGGAAGAAGGUCUUCGGAUUGUAAACUCCUGUUGUUGAGGAAGAUAAUGACGGUACUCAACAAGGAAGUGACGGCUAACUACGUGCCAGCAGCCGCGGUAAAACGUAGGUCACAAGCGUUGUCCGGAAUUACUGGGUGUAAAGGGAGCGCAGGCGGGAAGACAAGUUGGAAGUGAAAUCUAUGGGCUCAACCCAUAAACUGCUUUCAAAACUGUUUUCUUGAGUAGUGCAGAGGUAGGCGGAAUUCCCGGUGUAGCGGUGGAAUGCGUAGAUAUCGGGAGGAACACCAGUGGCGAAGGCGGCCUACUGGGCACCAACUGACGCUGAGGCUCGAAAGUGUGGGUAGCAAACAGGAUUAGAUACCCUGGUAGUCCACACCGUAAACGAUGAUUACUAGGUGUUGGAGGAUUGACCCCUUCAGUGCCGCAGUUAACACAAUAAGUAAUCCACCUGGGGAGUACGACCGCAAGGUUGAAACUCAAAGGAAUUGACGGGGGCCCGCACAAGCAGUGGAGUAUGUGGUUUAAUUCGACGCAACGCGAAGAACCUUACCAAGUCUUGACAUCCUGCGACGCACAUAGAAAUAUGUGUUUCCUUCGGGACGCAGAGACAGGUGGUGCAUGGUUGUCGUCAGCUCGUGUCGUGAGAUGUUGGGUUAAGUCCCGCAACGAGCGCAACCCUUACUGUCAGUUACUACGCAAGAGGACUCUGGCAGGACUGCCGUUGACAAAACGGAGGAAGGUGGGGAUGACGUCAAAUCAUCAUGCCCUUUAUGACUUGGGCUACACACGUACUACAAUGGCGUUAAACAAAGAGAAGCAAGACCGCGAGGUGGAGCAAAACUCAGAAACAACGUCCCAGUUCGGACUGCAGGCUGCAACUCGCCUGCACGAAGUCGGAAUUGCUAGUAAUCGUGGAUCAGCAUGCCACGGUGAAUACGUUCCCGGGCCUGUACACACCGCCCGU